CUCGCGCCGCGGUCUUCUCUAUCCACCCCCGACAUCGCGGGGCUCCCCCCGCCCGCCAACGGCGGGUCCCCGGCUUCCCAAGCCCCCUCGCUUCCCGCGCUCUCCAGCGGGGGCCCAGCCCCGGCCUCCUCUCUCCCUCCCUUCCCCCUAAUUCCCCUUCCGGACGCUGCCAUCAUGUUGAAGCCUCAGCCGCCACAACAGACCUCCCAGCCCCAGCAGCCGCCCCCCACGCAACAGGCCGUGGCCCGCCGGCCUCCCGGGGGCACCAGCCCUCCCAACGGCGGCCUCCCGGGGCCCCUGGCCUCCACCUCGGCUCCCGCAGGACCUCCCGCGGCCGCUUCUCCCUGCCUGGGGCCUGCAGCCGCCGCCGGGAGUGGGCUCCGCCGGGGAGCCGAGGGCAUCUUGGCGCCGCAGCCCCCGCCGCAGCAGCAGCAUCAGGAGAGGCCGGGGACAACGGCUGUCGGCAGCGCCAGGGGACAGAGCACAGGAAAGGGACCCCCACAGUCACCGGUGUUCGAGGGUGUCUACAACAAUUCCAGAAUGCUGCAUUUUCUUACAGCUGUUGUGGGCUCCACCUGUGAUGUAAAGGUGAAGAAUGGUACCACCUAUGAAGGUAUCUUCAAGACUCUGAGCUCAAAGUUUGAAUUAGCAGUAGACGCUGUACACCGGAAAGCAUCUGAGCCAGCAGGUGGCCCUCGUCGGGAAGACAUUGUGGACACCAUGGUGUUUAAGCCAAGCGAUGUCAUGCUCGUCCACUUCCGAAAUGUUGACUUCAAUUAUGCUACUAAAGAUAAGUUCACUGAUUCAGCCAUUGCCAUGAACUCGAAGGUGAAUGGGGAGCACAAAGAAAAGGUGCUUCAGCGCUGGGAAGGGGGCGACAGCAACAGCGAUGACUAUGACCUGGAGUCUGACAUGUCCAACGGAUGGGACCCCAACGAAAUGUUCAAGUUCAACGAGGAGAACUAUGGUGUGAAGACUACAUAUGACAGCAGUCUGUCUUCUUACACGGUGCCCUUGGAGAAGGACAACUCAGAAGAGUUUCGUCAGCGGGAGCUGCGUGCAGCCCAGUUGGCUCGGGAGAUUGAAUCAAGCCCCCAGUACCGCCUGCGGAUCGCCAUGGAGAACGAUGAUGGGCGGACAGAGGAGGAGAAGCACAGUGCAGUCCAGCGGCAGGGUUCAGGACGGGAGAGCCCCAGCUUGGCAUCAAGGGAGGGAAAGUACAUCCCUCUACCCCAGCGAGUUCGGGAAGGUCCACGGGGAGGAGUUCGAUGCAGUAGUUCCCGGGGUGGCCGGCCUGGCCUUAGCUCUUUGCCACCUCGUGGCCCUCACCACCUUGACAGUAGCAGCCCCGGCCCGGGUUCUGAGACACGUGGUAUCAACGGAGGCCCUUCCCGCAUGUCCCCUAAGGCCCAGCGGCCCCUGAGAGGUGGUGCCAAGACUCUGUCUUCAGCCAGCAGUAGGCCUUCUGGAGAAGCUCCUGUGGCACCUCCUCCGGCAGCUUUCCCUUUCCUUCCAGUGGGCCGGAUGUACCCCCCGCGCUCUCCCAAGUCGGCUGCUCCUGCCCCAAUCUCAGCUUCCUGUCCUGAUGCCCCCAUGGGCUCAGCAGUACCGACCUCUUCAGCUUCCAUCCCUGUGACAUCAUCGGUUGUGGAUCCUGGAGUCGGCUCCAUUUCCCCUGCUUCUCCAAAGAUCUCAUUGGCCCCCACAGAUGUAAAAGAACUUGCAGCCAAGGAACCUGGGAGAACGCUGGAGUCCCAGGAGCUGUCCCGGAUAGCUGGGAAAGUUCCUGGCCUUCAGAAUGAACAGAAACGCUUUCAACUGGAAGAACUGAGGAAAUUUGGGGCCCAGUUUAAGCUGCAGCCCAGUAGCUCCCCUGAGACCAGCCUGGAUCCUUUUCCUCCCCGGAUCUUAAAGGAGGAGGCCAAAGGAAAAGAGAAGGAGGUUGAUGGUCUGUUGACUUCAGAGCCAAUGGGGUCCCCAGUCUCCUCGAAGACAGAGUCCGUAUCAGAUAAGGAGGACAAGCCACCACUGCCGCCGGCGGGAGGCACGGAGGGCCCAGAGCAGCCCCCGCCACCUUGCCCAAGCCAAACUGGCAGCCCCCCGGUGGGCCUCAUCAAGGGAGACGACAAGGAUGAGGGCCCAGUUGCUGAACAAGUGAAGAAGUCAACACUGAACCCCAAUGCCAAGGAGUUCAAUCCCACAAAGCCUCUGCUGUCUGUGAAUAAAUCCACCAGUACCCCCACUUCUCCGGGGCCCCGGACUCACUCUACUCCCUCCAUCCCGGUGCUGACAGCAGGCCAGAGUGGGCUGUACAGCCCCCAGUACAUUUCCUACAUACCUCAGAUCCAUAUGGGACCAGCUGUUCAGGCCCCUCAGAUGUAUCCGUACCCUGUAUCCAAUUCUGUGCCUGGACAGCAGGGCAAAUACCGGGGAGCAAAAGGCUCCCUGCCCCCCCAGCGCUCGGACCAGCACCAGCCAGCCUCAGCCCCUCCGAUGAUGCAGGCCGCCGCCGCCGCCGGCCCACCUCUGGUGGCUGCCACGCCGUACUCUUCCUACAUCCCUUACAGCCCGCAGCAGUUCCCCGGCCAGCCCGCCAUGAUGCAGCCCAUGGCCCACUACCCCUCGCAGCCGGUGUUUGCCCCCAUGCUUCAGAGCAGCCCACGCAUGCUGGCGUCGGGGAGCCAUCCCCAGGCCAUCGUCUCGUCCUCCACCCCUCAGUACCCUUCCGCAGAGCAGCCCACCCCCCAGGCCCUCUAUGCCACCGUCCACCAGUCCUACCCACACCACGCCACGCAGCUCCAUGCGCACCAGCCGCAGCCGGCCGCCACGCCCACUGGGAGCCAGCCGCAGCCGCAGCACGCGGCCCCCAGUCCCGUCCAGCACCAGGCGGGGCAGGCCCCACACCUGGGCAGUGGACAGCCACAGCAGAAUCUGUACCACCCAGGGGCCCUGACAGGCACGCCGCCUUCUCUGCCACCGGGACCGUCUGCCCAGUCCCCUCAGAGCAGCUUCCCCCAGCCAGCCGCUGUGUAUGCCAUCCAUGCCCACCAGCAGCUGCCCCACGGCUUCACCAACAUGGCCCACGUUACCCAGGCCCAUGUCCAAACUGGAAUCACAGCAGCCCCGCCCCCUCACCCUGGGGCUCCCCACCCGCCCCAGGUGAUGCUGCUGCACCCACCCCAGAGCCAUGGGGGCCCCCCCCAAGGCGCGGUGCCCCAGAGUGGGGUGCCUGCACUCUCAGCUUCCACACCCUCACCCUACCCCUACAUCGGACACCCCCAAGGUGAGCAGCCUGGCCAGGCGCCUGGAUUUCCAGGAGGAGCCGAUGACAGGAUUCGUGAGUUCUCGUUAGCUGGGGGAAUAUGGCAUGGAAGAGCUGACGGGCUGCAGGUGGGGCAGGAUGCACGGGUUCUGGGAGGGGAGUGAGGGGUCGUGGAGGCAGGGCUGUCCCACAGGGCGCCCGCCGACCUGCACCUGUCUGUGAAGUAUGUAGGGUGGGCAGAAGCCACAGUCGCCGCCGCCAGGGGCUUGCUCCUGGCUCUGUCCUUUGCUUCCCUCCGUCCUCGCUCAGUUGUGAUCCAGCAGCCCCCCUCCCCACUGCCUCCCCAGCUCUCAGUGACCCCGACUGUCUCCUGACUUAGCCGAGCCCCGUGAGACACCUUGAGGAGGCCGCUCCUACCCAGACACUCCCCCCGCACCCCACACUGGACGGCAUUGGAUGAAGGGACAGCUGCUUGGGUUCUAAUGCUCCUGCUCUCUUCUCUUUCCCCUCCAACCAGUUCAAUCUCAUCCCUCCCAGCAGCUCCCCUUCCACCCCCCGGGGAACUGAAGAUUGUCCUGGCCGCGACCUGAGACCUCCAUGAGUGGAGGGA